CCAUCCGGGGCAUGAUUGCCUUUGGUCAGCACUUCCAAGCACAAGCACGGGACCUAAGAAUUAUUUCUAUUCACCGUCAUGAUUUCAUGUUGGGGGAUAAGAAAAUAAGCAAAAUAAACAAAAAGGGGAUGGGUAUUGACUUUUGAACACUUAUUUUUUCUAUAUUUUUAAUUUUUUUAUUUUAGGUACAUUUUGUGAUUUUGAUAGUAUAAUGGUUUAGAUUUUAUACUCAAUCAGUGAAGAUUAAUUCAAAAAAAUAUGUUGUAUGUCGGAGCUAAAUCAAUAUCGAUUCUAGUACUUAUUCUAGAACUUUAUAAAAUAAAUUAUUAAAAUACAGAUUAUACCAAUUUCUUGACCGGUUAAAUGAUAUGAUCGAUUAUGAAUUGUAUCCAAUCAAUAAGAUUUUAAUUGUUAUUAAAGUUUCAAUGAGGCUUAUAAUAUAAACGGUUAGAUCAUCAAAAAGAGGCUCAAAAACAGAACUCAAAAUACUGGACUGACAUAGAAGUCUGCUCUUCGUUAUUUUGCAUGAUUUCGUAUGAUGAUUCUGAUCCCUUUUUGCGGUUUUCUUUAAAGAAAAAAUAUACGAUUAUUGUGAAAAUGUGGGGGUAAGAAAAGCCUUAAAUUUUGUCCGUAACAUUAUUUUUUUAAUUUGUUGUCUGCCUCAUUUUAUGUUUAAUUAUCACUCAUUAUUGGAGUAUCACACCUCAUUAAAGAAUUUAGGAUGUUUAUCCCUCCAACGUCAAAAUGCUAAAAAAAUGAAAUAAAUAAAUAAAUCUAGCCUAGAUUAUAGUAUAAGUAGAUAACUGUGCUUCAUUAGCUCAUACUUGCCUCAACUAGCCUUGUAGAUACUAUUUCAUAUUCCCUCCAUCGGCUAAGUCCCUACAAUUCUAAUGGAGGAAAAAAUACACGAGUGGACACAUCAAGAGAAGUAGAAGAACCAGAGAGCCCAUUAGAGAUGUUGAUCAAAACUUCCCAAAGAAAGAAACUUGACUGCAAAAAACUAUAUAUUUCUACCAAGGUUUCUGGUGUCCAGAAAUGGCCAUUGGGCAUUACGCCUUGUCAGCACUUCCAAGCACAAGACACGGACCCUAUCUUCACUUCCACCCAAAAAUCGGGACAAACGUGGUUUGAUUGGUUGAAGGCCCUUGUGUUCACCAUCGUGACUAGAACCCGCUACCCGCUUGCCGAGAACCCAGUGCUCUUCACCAACCCUCACAAGCUUGUUCCUUCCUUUGAAUUCAACCUCUACAAUCCAUCCUUCUACUUUGAAGGAAAUCGCGACCCUAGGAUUUUAUCCACCCACGCUCCGUAUGGCGUGCUUCCGACAUCCAUCAAGGAUUCCAAAGUGUUAAAUUGUCUACAUUUGCCGGCGGAAACCCCUGGGACACAAUCAUUGUCCCAAUUGGCCAUUUCUUUGCCAAGCUCCCGUCAAGACCCACUCUGCAAUCGACGGAGACUUUCAAUAGGUUCUGCAGCGGGAUCGUCUUUUUUGGCCCCUUCUGGGAUAUAUCUUGGGAUACUGGAGGCAAGCCAAGCAGAGAAGCCGAACAAAAGUGUUGUUCUUGAAGUAUGAAGAUUUUGUUGGUAAAAUCUAGUUUCUUUUUGGUUUAAAAACAGAAAGUUUGAAUCACAAAAGAAGAGAAGAAGAACAGAAUUAUAACCAAUGCAACUUUAAGGAGCAGAAUUUGAUUUGGCUGAGGCUGAAUUAAAUUCAGUGUCCAUUAAAGUCGUUUACAACCCGCACUUGCGGGUACUUACGGAAUUAUGUUGUACGACUCCCAGGAUUACAAAAGCAACAACUUUGAUAGUUAGGACUCAAAAUAGAAGAUCACGUCGAACCUUCAAGGUCUUCUCUCUCAAAUGAAACUAGAAGAUGCUGGAGCUCUAGCAACUCUCUAAUGCUUGCCUUAUGGAUUUCGAGAUGAAUGAAGAAUGCUGGGAUGUUGGAGGUAUUUAUAGAAGCCACACAACCUUUCUAAAGAGUCACACUCUUUGGAACGCACCAUUCGCGGCUCCAAAUGCACUAUUUCGGCCCGAACAGCGUGCACAGGGACAUUUCUGACACAAAUGAAGUUGCACCUAUUCGCGGAUCACAGGAAAAUUCUGGAAGAAAUUCGUAAUAACCGCUUUGUUAAUCCGAAACGGUGUGCCGUUCGCAAAAGGAAAUUAAUUCCGGGGAAGAAAACUGUAAUGUCUAAUUUAGAAAUUAAAAUUUAAUUGAAUAAAUUUUUCUCAAAAAAUUAAUAUUCAAUUAGCCCAAAGCCAAGCCCAAAGCCCAAGCCCAAGCCCAAGCCCGGCCCGCCAGCACGAACGGGACGGGUCGGGUGGGACGGGCGAGUCGGCUGCGGCGCAGCAGCACAUGGGUAAAUCCAUAAAGCCCAUAGGCUAAUGGAUCAGGCCCAAACCUUUUUUUUUAUACAUACUCCUCCCCUUUAAAAACUUGUGGUGCCCAAGGGCCCAAUUUAAAGAGUCCAUACUUUGGGCUUUAAUUUCACUAACUUUAAUUUCUUUUUCCAAUGUGGACAACAUUGUCUAUCCCCAUUUUUCCUUGCAUUGAAGACUUCUUGAGAAACAAUCUCAUUUCAAAUUACUUAGUUUUUGACAAAUGAAUACAUAAAUUCAUCUACUCAUUAGGAGAAACAGGAAUCUAUCAUGUCAUUUAAUUAGUGUACGAACUUUUAAUAAAUUUAGUUCCAAAGUGUGUUCAAAACACACUCUCAAAAAACCAAAACUUCUAAACAACCCCACAUGAAUGAAAUUGAUUGAGUAAUGUACUUAUUCCCUAAGAGAGAGAGAAAGGGAGAAUUAAAAGCAUCAGGAGAGUAGCUUGCGGCCUUGAACCUUUUUAGUGACAUUACUAUCGGAUUUACUCGCAAACAGUGGACAUGACGCCCUGAAAACUGUCCAGCUUUGAGUGUUGUAAACCAGGACAACAAUAUGCACACGGAUAACACUCCGAACACUUUUGGUUCUCAUGGUGUGUCAUUUUGGCCCUGAACAAACACCUGAGUUCUCAUGAGGGCUCUAGAGAAUUCAGCCAAAAAUUUUCAAGGAAGGCCCCAAUCCACACUCACAUAGGUGGACAUCUUGUUAGAGUACUCGCAAUAACCAUUAAAUAUUUUAAGAUACAAGGUUCAUAAAAGUUAUACUAGCCUAAAUGCUCUAAGACAGCCCGUUGUUACUUCAUAGGAACAGGUCGGUCAAAAAGGUUUUACCCUUUAUACAACAAUUGCUUAUACCCACUGAGUUACACUUGUGUAGUUGUCCCUGUUUGGAACCUAGAUCUUGGAUCUCCAGUCAACUAGUUGGGUUUCCACUAUGGCACUCUUUGACUAGAGGCGUUAAUCCCAUUCCCCUCGAAAAUUUAUAAACUUGCUCUCUAGAUAAAACCUUUUGUAAGCGGAUCCGCAAUGUGAUCCUUAGAUUUUACAUAAUCUAUAGAAAUAACACCAUAGGAGAAGUUGUUUAAUGGUAUUUGUCUAAGACGAAUAUGCUAGACUUACAUUAUACAAAUUAUGUGUGCCCUGCAAUUGUGAUUGACUAUCAAAUGUAUACACACAGCAGGCACAGGUUUUGACCAAUUUGGGAAUAAUCCUCUAAAAAAUGUCUAAUCCAUCAGCCUCUUCUCCGGCUUUGUCUUAGGCAAUAAACUCUGCGGCAUAGUAGACUGGCAAUGUUGUUUGUUUAGAGGAUUUCCAGGUACUGCAGCACUCAAUAGUGAAGACAUAACCACUUGUGGAUUAGAGGUCUUUAGGUCUGAGAUCCAAUUGCAUCACAUAAUCCCUCAGGUACGGCGGAUAGCCAGAAUAAAACUUAAUCAUAGUUUGUGUAUAUCUAAGAUACCUUAAAAACUCGAAUUAUUGCCUUCCAAUGAUUAUCUCCAGGAUUCCUGCUAAAUCUACUUCAAUUGAUAACCGCAUACGCCAUAUCAGGUCUUGUACAAUUCAUUCAAGUCCAUAGAUGACUAUAAUCAUUGAGUGUAUAAUAAUUGGGAUACUGUUUCUCCAGAUCUUGUUAGAUGUAAGUUACAUCUAUCGGGAGAGUAGCUUUUCCAUCCCCAUCCUUGUCAAAUUUCUCUAAAAUUUUAUUCACGUAAUGUGAUGGUGGACAAGAAUAUUCCCUUCAGGUGUUCUUUCGAUUUAAAUUCCCAGAAGUACAUCUGCAACACAAGAUCUUUCAUGUCAAAUUUUGACAUUAAAGAUUUUAGUAGAUUAAGAUCAUGUAAUUAUUACUUCCAAUAAUUAACUAUCAUCUACUACAAACAAACAAUGACCUAUUCCUUUUCAGUAAUUUGACAUACACGCAUUUGUCAAAUUCAUUGAUUUUGAAAUCAUUUGAAAUCAUGACAUUGUCAAAUUUUCAUUUAACAGUGAUAUACAACGUUUCAAUUCAUUUUCAUUUUCCAAUUAGCAGUUGGUCAUUGCCAUACUAAAGUUAAGACGGAGAGUGAGUUUUCACUCUGCGUAAACUCUUGGGAUGCUAUUUCAUUUGUUUUUGUGGGGGAGUUAGUUCAUGAAAAGAGAAAAUAGACCAUGCGGUGUUGUUUUGCGGCGGAGUAAGUGCUGUGUAGUCAGUGGACCACCGUCAAUAUAAUAUGCCUUAGUUGCGACACAGAAACCGUCAGAACGGCCGCCCAAAAUUGUUUUUAAAAAAAGACUCUCUUAUGACUAAGGGUGCACACGGGUGGUAGGGUCGGGAUAUGUGACAGACCCGACCGACCACCACGGUUCUCUAUUUUUGGACCCGGAACCCACGAGGAGGAACCGAACCCAAUCCGAACCGAUUGGGUCCGGUUCGGUUCCUCGGUCUCGGGUCGGGUCGGGUUUGGGACUUCGGUUCUCCUAAAAUAAUAAUAAAUAGGUAAUAAUCAAGUGUGCCGCGGAGUGCCUUGGAUGUCUUAUACGGUCGGUUCUAGAUUCGUGGUUCUCGGUUCUCUGUUUGAUUCGCGUUCUCUGUUCGGUUAGGGUCUCGGUAAAAAAAUUUAUGGACCGAAACCGACC
rnacentral:lncRNA from 1 species